UGUUUAAAACCAUACAGAACAUAUCAGGUUUUUAUCACACAAUAUUUAGUAACUAUUAAAAUGAAGAAAACAUAUAAUUUCAUUAGUUACUCACUUGUAAUUAUGUAUACUGUUUGAUUAGGCACUUAUUACAAACGCAAACAAUUUUGAUACGACUUUUUUCUGAAAUAAGUAUUCAAAAAAUAAACUACCUAGGUACUACUUAAAAUUAGGAUUCCAUUGUAUAACUUAUGCCCGUUUUCACCAACGAAUACCUAAAUUUAGGGAGCAUUUACGGAACACUUAAUAAGAAUUUCAUUUUCACCAAAGCCUAGGUGUCAAAUUAUAACCUUAAAAUUUGACUUCAACUUGGGGGCCCGAUUGAUGCCUGCUUAAACAACCCCUAUCAUUAUCAUUACAGAAUACAAACAUAUUUUGAACCGUGGAUAGUGAAAUGUACCUUUAUAUGUUAUGUAACACCAAAAAUACCAUGUUUAAAAAGCAAAAAAUACAAAAAAAAAUGAAACGUAAACUUUUAGAAAGUUUAGAAGCUGUGGAGGUUGUGGAUAUGUAAAAUAAUAAUCAUUAGAAGACCACGUACCUAUCUUACGUGAAAGAGCAGAUGACUGAGAAAUAAGUACGAUGAUCAUGACUUUUUUAUAAGACUAGCCGUUUUCCCGCGGUUUCACCCUCGUCCCGUGGGAGCUACUGCCCGCACCGGGAUAAAAUAUAGCCUAUGUUACUCGCAGAUAAUAUAGCUUUCUAAUGGUGAAAGAAUAUUUAAAAUCGGUCCAGUAGUUUUUGAGUUUAUCCAUUACAACCAAACAAACAAACAUUUUCCUCUUUAUAAUAUUAGUAUAGAUAUAGAUUAUAGGUUAUCACUUGCUAUGAAUGCACUUGCUAGGUCGUGAUGUCGCUGAAUUAUUCAAAAAUAGGUAGUCCUGCAUGUCCAUAAAUAUACAGACCAUAACAGAUGCAAAUCUGGUAAUCACUGAUGUAGUUUCGCGGUGGCCGGGACAUCUAUAGGCCUAUUCAGACCUAAGCGGUAUUCGCUACCACCUGCGACAGAGAAAACUCAGUGGGUAUGCGAUAAUAUUACUGUUGAUGUUCGGGACGUAUGCCGCUGCUGCCGCGCGGUAUGUACUUCUACCCACAGCGGCAGUGAAUAUCGCUCAGGUUUGAAUUGGCCUUAAAUACCAAAACUGCAGUAGAUACCAAUGAUUCGAAAAUGGUGAAUAUGGAGGAGCCUAUCUCCUAGGUGAUACGGGAUACCCUCUGGAGGUAAGAAGUAGGCUAAUAUUGAACAUAAUAAAAUAUAUAAAUUAAAACAAAGAUAGUAAACAAAUAUUUUAAUAUUAGUCCUCAUAUGAUGUACCAAACAUUAUCAUCAUCCUCCUGCACCAAUUCAAUUUGAGGUGGGCUGGGCGCAGCAUGUUUUUACACGUCUUUCCAAUUUCUCGCACCACCUGAAACUAAAUAAAUAUAAUAAAUGUAUAAUUUUAACCCCAUACUUAAAUCCAUCAACUCAUGGAGAACAAAAAUACAAUGAAGUCGACAGUAAAACAAGGAACACAGUUGAACGGCAAUAUCUUAUAUUAUUAUACACAGAUAUUAUUCACAUUUACCUGUAAACGGUUCCUAUCGCAUUAAAACUAUUUGUAACUGGAUCCAAGCUUUGUUUUUGGCUUCGUUCGUGGUCCCAUCCGUUUUUUGUUUAAUAUUGUGUCUCUAUGAGACGGCAAUUUCACUAGCUUGUCUUUUUCUUCUGCAAGAAAGGUUUAUCCUCGUUUUCUCUUCUCUGCCAAAAUAAACUUAUCUAUUCAACAAUAAUAAACCCAAAAUUAACCUCACUCUAUGUACACAUACACAUCAGUCAAUUUGACAAACGCGCGAAUGACAUAGGUAAAAAUUCACCUAUAGAAAACCUCUUUACUGUUUUAUUGCAUAAAACAUAGCGUAAUGUAGUUUAAGUUAAAUUAAAAUAACAUCACAAGGAAAAAAACUCACAGGCUUUAGUAAUAUAUACUCGAUAGACGUUUAUUUCUUAAGAAGUACAGAAAAAUCAUUUUAUCGAUAAAAUAUCGACUUUGCAUUAUCGUUUGUAGAACUAGUAAUCUGUCACUUACUUAAGGGAUCCAUGUACAAGUGUGGUGAAAAUGAAUUUAGGUAGGUGUCAAAUUGGGAGGGGUCCUUAUUAAAAGUAGCUUUUAGAUAGGGAAACGGUAAGAGGUUGUUGGUGAAAACGGGCAUCAGUGUUUUAAACAUAGAUUUUUAGCCAUUAUAUCUAACUAGCUUCUGCCAGCGGUUUCACCCGCAUCCCGUGGGAACUACUUCCCGUACCGGGAUAAAAAGUAGCCUAUAGCCUUCCUCGAUAAAUGGGCUAUCUAAAACAGAAAGAAAUUUUCAAAUCGAACUAGUAGUUCCUGAGAUUAGCGCGUUCAAACAAACAAACAAACUCUUCAGCUUUAUAAUAUUAGUAUAGAUUUUUAAAUGAGUUUUCAAAUAAAAAGUCAUAUAAAUAUUGUCUACCUUUUAAGUGCCUACUCAAACGAUAAAGUGAUAAAAGAUUAAUAUCAAAGAUAUUCCCAGUUUGGAAUAAUUUUGAAAACGUUCCCAAAUCGGGAACAGAAUUUUAAAUGUUCCUUAAUCGGGAACAGA
rnacentral:lncRNA from 1 species